CCUACGGGUGGCUGCAGUGAGGAAUAUUGGUCAAUGGCCGGAAGGCUGAACCAGCCAAGCCGCGUGAAGGACGAAGGUGCCAAGCAUUGUAAACUUCUUUUAUCAAGGGACAAAAUCAGGCUCGAGAGCCUGACCGAGUGGACUUGAAGAAAAAGCAUCGGCUAACUCCGUGCCAGCAGCCGCGCUAAUAGGGAGGAUGCGAGCUUUAUCCGGAUUUAUUUGGUUUAAGGGGUACGUGGGCGGACUGUUAAGUCAGCGGUAAAAGCCCGGGGCUCAACCCCGGCGAGCCGUUGAAACUGGCUGUCUUGAGAUGUGGAGAGGUAUGCGGAAUGCGCAGUGUAGCGGUGAAAUGCUUAGAUAUUGCGCAGAACUCCGAUUGCGAAGGCAGCAUACCGGCGGCGAUCUGACGCUGAGGCACGAAAGCGUGGGUAUCGAACAGGAUUAGAUACCCCUGUAGUC
rnacentral:rRNA from 1 species